UGAGGAAUUUUCUGCAAUGGGCGAAAGCCUGACAGAGCAAUACCGCGUGAGGGAUGAAGACUUACUGAGUUGUAAACCUCGGUACCUUAAGGAAGAAGAUCUGACGGUACUUAAGGUGGAAAGCAUCGGCUAACUCCGUGCCAGCAGCCGCGGUAAGACGGGGGAUGCAAGUGUUAUCCGGAUUUACUGGGCGUAAAGCGUCUGCAGGUGGUUUCUUAAGUCUACUGUUAAAUCUUGAGGCUCAACCUCAAAUCUGCAGUAGAAACUAGGAGACUUGAGUAUAGUAGGGGUAGAGGGAAUUUCCAGUGGAGCGGUGAAAUGCGUAGAUAUUGGAAAGAACACCGAUGGCGAAGGCACUCUACUGGGCUAUUACUGACACUCAGAGACGAAAGCUAGGGGAGCAAAUGGGAUUAGAUACCCCAGUAGUCCUAGCCGUAAACGAUGGAUACUCGAUGUUGGACGUAUCGACCCGUUCAGUAUCUUAGCUAACGCGUUAAGUAUCCCGCCUGGGGAGUACGCUCGCAAGAGUG
rnacentral:rRNA from 1 species